rnacentral:lncRNA from 1 species
AGAAGAGAUGAGGGGAAGGAAAGGUUGCUGGAAACUAGAAUGAGAGAGAAUCCUGUAGAGCAGGCCCAUUGAGAGGAACAGAUCUUCCGCAACAGGGCCAGGCCAAGGCAACAUCACAGGAGGGAGUCCUGGGAAUAAAAGCCUGAGCACAUUUACCUAUUUCCUUGUCAUCUUGCCAACAUUUUCACAGGUGCCUUUAUCUUCUGGCUUCCAAUCUAUACAGAUCAGCAUCUCUGGACAGGGAGAGACUUUCAAAGGUGUCGGAUUAUCAGUUAAACCUUCCUAGAUCUGGAUGAGGUGGCCUAGCUGCAUCAAUGCAGAUUUUCUCUCCUGAUGCAAAUCCCUUCACAAAAGACAGCUUUGCAGGGAUACUUUUGUUUUCUGAUUGUCUGAAUAUCCAUGUCAAAAUACGUCAAAGAAGUAUAUUUUAGUGUAACAUAUUUUCAUUUCCUUGACCAUCCUCUACUCCAGGAAGCCCUCAUAACCUUUGGACUAAAUUAGCCUCCCUUCUCUUUAUAUGGGACCUGGCUCAUACCUGUACUGUAUUAUCCAAAAUAUACUGUAAUUGCAUGGUUGAACCUGGGAACCAUAUCUUAUUUGACUUUCUGUCUCUAGUACUCAUUUUAGUCUCUGAAAUAAAGAAGGCUUCACAUUUUACAAUAAGACAAAGAACUUACUUGUUUCCCAAAAAUGUUGCAAGGCAACCUUUCUUCCUUUUUUGGAUAGAGUUUUUUCCCUUAUAUUUUAUGAUAAAGAAAGGGGUUUCCCU